AGUUGCUUCAGAUAAAAGAAUUUGCUUGAAGUGUAUUCCUCACAUGUUUACCUCUUUGCUUGCCUGUCCUCCUGGUUGGAGGAAAGGGCCUGCAGUCUCCAGAUUGCUGGAACUAGAGUCCUAACUUGUGGGUUGUGCUGGAACCAAUAACUCCUUUCCUGCAUUGCCGGCAGGUUCUGCUGCUCACUUUGAUUUAUUGCUUCUGCUGGAAUUCCUCUUUGAUGAAGCAUCUGACAGGCUGAAAGAUUUACGUGGAGCCUCCAUCCUAAGUGUGAGAAGUGCAGGCACCUGGUGUCAGAGAACAUGCCCUGUGACACACCUUGCCACAUGGCUCCAUCCCCUCAACCUCUGGCUGAAGGUCAAGCCCAGGAAUGCUGUAUGUUUUCGUCCCUUCGAUUUGUUUCCCGACCACAUCAACGGAUCUUCAAUCAAACGCAGACCACUGACCGACCGACCUUUCACUUCAUCCCCUGACCUUGUCCAUGGAUCCUCGCUCUUACUCCGACCGCCGAUCGACCGACCAUUCGCCUGUCCCUGACUCUGAGAACUUGCCUUAUCCCCUGAAUCCAGACGAACGACUCCACACUUAGGUCCUGCCAUCCCGGUUCUCUCGGCCCCACAUGACAAUUUGAGGAUCUUUUCCAGAUUUUUAAUUCCAGCUCUGACAAGUGUUAGUCUUUGGCAUAUCUCUUGAAUGCUGAACCCCUUGUGGAUGAUUAUUGAUCCGAGACAAAAGUUGUCAACCACUUCUUUAUCCUUAUCAACUCUACACUACCACUGUCGCAUUUGUCAUAACUCUAAAUUUCUUUGUUUUGCAGACAUUUUUAUUCAGUAUCUUAGGUAGCCUGUAUGUUUACAUGUAAACAACACUUGAAUAUUUAACUCUGAAUCCUUUUCAUCCUUUUCAUGGGAACAGAAUCCCAUCCAUGUACUUAAAAAUCACAGUGACAGCAAACUGGAAAAUAUUUCAACAGAUUGUUCAACAAUAGUGAGGUUUAGGUCCAGUGGUGAUGUUUACGUGUGUGCUACAGGUGUGUCUCCAUGCUUUUCAAAGCUGUUGUAUGGGUCAUCACUGUGGUGAGUUGUCCCCCGCUGUGGUGUAGAGAGCCAAGGUGUUAAGAGAAACACCCAGGCUGCAGUCAUGAGCUUACUUCGCAGACAAACUUAAAAGUCAUUCCUGAUUAGAAAAAAUGACAAAUAUACUUCUGUUUUUUUCCAUUCUUUUGAUUCUAAAAAUGAAUGCCAAACUUGGAUUAUUAAAAAGAUGAAGACACUAAACUUCACCCAACAGUAUGACAC
rnacentral:lncRNA from 1 species